rnacentral:tRNA from 1 species
GCCCUGAUGGCGGAAUUGGUAGACGCACGUGGUUCAGGUCCACGCGAGUAACAUCGUGGAGGUUCGAGUCCUCUUCAGGGCACCA